CACCCUCACUGGCGGUCAACGUCAUUGAGCAGCUCUCUGACCAUGAGAGAAAUCAGGACUAUAACCAUUUGUGGCCUAAGCAUUUCCUGAAGAGAUACGAUACAACUUGAUGAAGUCAUACAUUGUACGACAUUAUUUUUGAGAGAGGAGAGUCUAGUGAGUUGCUACCCAAUAGAUGUUACUGGCAACCACCGGGAAAAAAGAUGGCCGCAGGAUUGCAUAUAAAAGCGGGAGAGAUAUGACAAUCGAUGUUGGGAGAAAAGGUACUGGUAAUCGAUGUGAGGAUUGUGAGAAUAUGCCAGAAAUACCCACCUGGGCAUAAAAUUGAGUUGUCCGAUAUUGCCGAGGUCGGAUUCUAUUCAGGGUGUCAUCAUUAUUUUAAUACGGGUAAAUAUUUUGAUGUUAUCAUCAUCUUUAAAGAGGCUGUGUAUGCUGUUGAUAUCUCAUAGGAGAAAUAAACUACUCGUGAUCGAUGAUUAUCGUACAAGUAUAUUUCCAAAAUAGAUAGGCGACAAAUUGCAAAGAACAAUGAAGAAGGAAGCGUGGUUUGUUUCACGACAAAACAUUAUUUUUUUACUUGAUUACGGCAUAUAUUGGCCGACGUUAUUUUUGAGAGGGAAGUGUCUUAUAAGUUGUCCCCCAUAAAUGUAUCUGGGCUACGCUGGUAAACGCAUUGGCCGAACGAUCACAUUAAAAACAGUGAAAACAUUAUCGGCGGCAGACUUUUGCCUUGCAUUACUCCCACAAAUGACGAAAGGGACUCAGAGUAACGAUUAUCAGGAAAUCUUGCACAGGACAUAACGUCUCUAAAAAAAUAGUGUUAAGAAGAUCAAGAAAUUUGGAACUUACUCCCAGAGAAUACAACUUGUGCCAUAAUGCUUGCUUAAAAAACCGUGCGAAGUUCUACAAAUGCGCAUUAUAUUUCCUCAUGGUUCAUUAUCCCUGCAGUGUUUUAUUGUAUGAUAAACAACUGUAUAUGCCAGGUCGGCAAUAUGUGAACAUUCUGAACCAAAUGGAUUAUGUGCAAUGACUCAAAUUCAAUGGAUCUUGUGUUAGACUUUUGAAUUGUAAUCACUGAUACUUACUCUCGAGUUUUGUGAGUAGACUGCCAUAAUUAAAUUGAUUUUAAAUUGUUGCGUGAUUUCUAUUUGAUUUGUA